UACGGAGGGUGCAAGCGUUAUCCGGAUUUACUGGGUUUAAAGGGUGCGUAGGUGGGUAAGUAAGUCAGUGGUGAAAUCUCCGGGCUUAACCCGGAAACUGCCAUUGAUACUAUUUAUCUUGAAUACUUUGGAGGUAAGCGGAAUAUGUCAUGUAGCGGUGAAAUGCUUAGAUAUGACAUAGAACACCAAUUGCGAAGGCAGCUGGCUACACGAAAAUUGACACUGAUGCACGAAAGCGUGGGGAUCAAACAGG
rnacentral:rRNA from 1 species